GAGGGUAUAGCUCAAGUGGUAGAGCAUAUGCCUAGCAUGCACGAGGCCCUGGGUUCAAUCCCCAGUACCUCCU
rnacentral:tRNA from 1 species